GAGAGAGACUUGCCAGCAAUAAAGACUGCUAAUCAUUAUGCCCCUGGUUGAAUUCCAGGGCUCCCUCACGCU
rnacentral:tRNA from 1 species